CAAGCAAUGCAGAUGGCAGCUAACAUGGCUGUGUUUGAACGGGCUUGUGAUUUUUUCUUUCGUCAUGCUGCACAGCUUUCAGGGAUUCCAUUGAGAAUGGCAGAGAGGGGGAGGAGACUGUUCCCUUUGACUAAAGCCCGCGAUGCUGCUGAAGAGAUGCUCUCAGGUCUGCUUAAGCAAAAGGUUGAUGGGUUCCUUUUGUUGAUUGAGAAUGUGAAUUGGAUGGCCGAUGAUCCUCUACAGAGUGGAAAUGAAUAUGUGCAUGAGGUGAUUAUUUUUCUUGAAACACUAACUUCUACUGCCCAGCAAAUAUUGCCUGUUCAAGUUCUGAAGAGAGUUUUGCAAGAUGUUCUGU
rnacentral:misc_RNA from 1 species